GACGAACGCUGGCGGCGUGCUUAAUACAUGCAAGUCGAACGGAGAGGCCUUGCUCUUGUGGGGUGCUCGAGUGGCGAAAGGGUGUGAAUCACGCGAGUAACCUGUGCUUGACUUCGGGAUACCACCAGGAAAAUGGGGUGCAUACAGGACAGAAGAUCUUGCAGCACGGUGGGGGUGGGAAAGUUGCGGCGGUUGGGGAUGGACUCGCGGCCUAGCAGCUUGUUGGCGGGGUAGUGGCUUACAAAGGCAUCGACGAGUUGCCGGCCUGCGAGGGUGACCGGCCACAAUGGGACUGGGAUGCGGGCCGGACUCCUACGGGAGGCAUCGGUGGGGAAUAGUGCGCAAUGGGCGGAGUGCGGAUGCAACAACGCCGCGUGCGAGAAGACGGCCUUCGGGUAAUAAACCUCGUUCGCCUGUGACGAAGCGCGAGUGACGGUAAUGGGUAAAGAAGCACCGGCUAACUACGUG
rnacentral:rRNA from 1 species